rnacentral:rRNA from 1 species
UACGUAGGGGGCAAGCGUUGUCCGGAAUCAUUGGGCGUAAAGCGCGUGUAGGCGGUCCGGUAAGUCGGCUGUGAAAGUCCAGGGCUCAACCCUGGGAUGCCGGUCGAUACUGCCGGACUAGAGUUCGGAAGAGGCGAGUGGAAUUCCCGGUGUAGCGGUGAAAUGCGCAGAUAUCGGGAGGAACACCAAUGGCGAAGGCAGCUUGCUGGGACGUUACUGACGCUAAGGCGCGAAAGCGUGGGGAGCGAACAGG